UAGGGAAUCUUCCGCAAUGGGCGAAAGCCUGACGGAGCAACGCCGCGUGAGUUAUGAAGGUCUUCGGAUCGUAAAACUCUGUUAUUAGGGAAGAACAAAUGUGUAAGUAACUAUGCACGUCUUGACGGUACCUAAUCAGAAAGCCACGGCUAACUACGUGCCAGCAGCCGCGGUAAUACGUAGGUGGCAAGCGUUAUCCGGAAGUAUUGGGCGUAAAGCGCGCGUAGGCGGUUUUUUAAGUCUGAUGUGAAAGCCCACGGCUCAACCGUGGAGGGUCAUUGGAAACUGGAAAACUUGAGUGCAGAAGAGGAAAGUGGAAUUCCAGGUGUAGCGGUGAAAUGCGCAGAGAUAUGGAGGAACACCAGUGGCGAAGGCGACUUUCUGGUCUGUAACUGACGCUGAUGUGCGAAAGCGUGGGGAUCAAACAGG
rnacentral:rRNA from 1 species